AUGAAUCGGAGACUUAAUCUUGAUAUACCUCAGAACAAUACAUUCUUGUUACCACGAGAUGUAUUGGCCGCUACGGAUCAUUUGAUUGGAAUGAAAUUUGGAACGGGUAUACUUGACGAUGACGAUAUGAAUCACUUGAAAAAUAAACGUAUUCGUUCGGUUGUAGAUCUGUUACAAGAUCAAUUCGGAUUGGCUCUUGGUCGUUUACAACAUGCAGUUCAAAAAACUAUUCGUAGAGUAUUCAUACGUCAAUCGAAACCGACUCCCCAAACUUUGGUAACUCCAACUUCAACUUCAAUUUUAUUAAUAACUACUUAUGAGACCUUUUUUGGCACAUACCCAUUAUCUCAAGUUUUUGAUCAAACGAAUCCAUUGACACAAACUGUUCAUGGGUGA
rnacentral:rRNA from 1 species